UAAAGAGUUCUAUAACUCCCAAACCCAUGUGAACAUACCUAACGUUGCCUCGGCAGGUCGCACCUACCUUGUAGCACCCUACCCUGUAGGGCCUACCCGGGAGGUGCGGGUAAGCCUGCCGGCGGCCCACCAAACUCUGUUUGAUAUUGAAUUCUGAACCUAUAACUAAAUAAGUUAAAACUUUCAACAACGGAUCUCUUGGUUCUGGCAUCGAUGAAGAACGCAGCGAAAUGCGAUAAGUAAUGUGAAUUGCAGAAUUCAGUGAAUCAUCGAAUCUUUGAACGCAUAUUGCGCCCAUUAGUAUUCUAGUGGGCAGGACCGUUCGAGCGUCAUUUCAACCCUUAAGCCUUCGUUGCUUAGUGUUGGGAGCCUACGGCAACGUAGCUCCUCAAAGUUAGUGGCGGAGUUGGUUCACACUCUAGACGUAGUAAUUUUUUAUCUCGCCUAUUAGUUGGACUAAUCCCCUGCCGUAAAACCCCCAAUUUAUCAAGGUUGACCUCGAAUCGGUUCAGACAAACUCGCUAAAUUGAAGCAUCUUAGUCAGCGAAGGAAAAGAAACCAACAGGGAUUGCCCUAGUAACGGCGAGUGAAGCGGCAACAGCUCAAAUUUGAAAUCUGGC
rnacentral:rRNA from 1 species